GGGGGUGUUCAAAAGUAAGGAGAGAGAAUCAAAGCCUCAAGCGUCACGUCUAGGAAUAGCCUCGGAGCCGGGCCAAGUCAUUAUCGACGAUGAGUAAUCGGUUAAGUCAUUUCUCUAAACACCAUUCCUUCAGCGACUAAGUUAUGAAAUCGGGUUCCUAUCACUCCAGGAUUCUGAAGGUCUGGGCUUGAGGGCCAGCACCUGGGACCCCAUCCCCGAUCAUGACAACCCUCUCUAACCCUGAUCACCCCCCAGAGUGUCCUGUCCCUGCAAGCAUCAUCAUUUUCAUACCCUGAUACCUGACAGUGUCAUUAAAUAUCAG